GACAGAACAAACCUCAUUUCUUUUAAAGUUCACCAUCGACUAUAAGCUUGAGAAAGUAAGAGCAACAUAUAAGUCAUACUAGGUACUUCCUAUUCCAAAAUUUAUUUGUAUUCACCGAACAAAGUAAUAACAAAAGUAGAGAAUAUUCCGUUCUGGUUUCAGGCUCUAAACUCUCCCACAGAAAAAAAGACAUGAAACUUUUCGAAGCAACCAAGGUCUCUGCAAUUCCUUUUAAAAAUACUCUGGGGUUUAUAUUCCUGUUCAAGCAAGCAUCCAGUCAAAAGAUCCUGCAACAGAACUAAGCCAUGCAUCACAAAUCUAUUGAACACCCAGCGAACAGAUCAGUUUGGAUUAAUAAGAGCAAAUAGAAGUAUAAAUAAAUAGCAAAGAGUAAGGGAAGCUCUUUCCAGUGUGACUGUGAAACAACUAAGAUGAACUAGAAAUAAGGUGGUAAGCUAGCUUUCACAGCAUCACCACCAUGCAGCUGAUCUGGCCUAAAAAUUAACAAGACCAGAUCAACUGCCUGAGAGCUACCCUCCGUUGCAAGAUAGUACAGGUGUCUAAUUAGUAUAACCAAUUUUAUGCAGGCCCAUCAAAAGAGUGUCAUUAACAAGUAUCUCACGCAGGCUCCACCUGAAAAUGGAAAAUGUUAGGCAUUGAGGUCUGCUUUAAUUAUGAAAAGCCACAUCAGAGCUGCUUCAGUUCCAUGUUCAGCCACUACAAUCCAAAUGCAAGCUAUAUGUCAUGGCAGCAGCCCAUUUUAGAGACAUAAUAGGUUACUUUGAAUGGCUAACAGACACAAGACAUUUAAAAAAGAAGGUGCAUAAUUUUCUGAGACCAGCCUUCAAGUCAAUCAUCAUUCUUAUGUAAGGAAGUUUGCUUGGUCUCUGAGUGCAACCUGCCCUUUUUUUCUUGCUGAAGGAGGCUCAUGCUUGUUUUUGUAACCAUCAUGCUUAACAACUCGACCAAGCUAUCCACGCAAACAUAAGUGCGAUUUAGCAAUUUCCAAAUGAACCAGAAAGCUUGCAUGAACUUGAUUCCAUCAGUUCAUAUAUAGCUUGCAUGAAACUGAUUCCACCAUUUACACCACCUAAUUCUCUUUGGGAAAAUUUGAAUAUAAGUCUACAUAAAAUAUCAUAUGGACUGAUCAUAAACACUGAUCUAACCAGCUAUACCGAAGUCUUGCUUCUUUGUUGCCUUCUGAGUGCCCAUAUCUCCCUAAGCCAAUGGAUCUCUAGUGUGGACAUUAGUGCCAGAUCGCCCAUCACUCGAGUCUACAGUCGCCGCAUGAGGAUGGCUCAGCCAGUUUUAUUGUGGUUGGAGUGAUUUUAUUUUAUUUGGGCUUAUUAGGGUAUUUUGUUAUUUGAUAGCCUAUAGGGCUUAUUUUGGUAUUUUGUUAUCUUUGAGGGUUUUUGUGAGAUUAAUUUCUUUUUGGGGUCUUUUUACAUUUUCUGAAUCUUAUAAAUGUGUUGGAUCGUACAUCGUUUAGGGUAUGCUAUGAAUAAAAAUUUUGAUUCCCCUUCUUUUAGCCUUGGUGUGAAACCCUAGGCUAGGGCUAGGUGCGAAGCCUAGAUCUCCUUCUCUCCUCCCUCCUCUUUCUUUCUUCUUACCCUGCUGUCCAGCAUCAGCAUUGGUAUCAGAGGCUUCUUUUGGGCCACUGUGGGCCGUGGGUUCAAGCUUCACACGGGGGAAAACAACAACAUAAAAAGAAAUCCUUCCUUCCUACGAACAGCCCCUGUUCCUCCCCCCCAUCCCCUCGUCCGACGCCCCAACGUCGUCGCGAGCUUUGCCGCCGAGAGCUUCAACCGCAUGCCCCACAAUCUGACGGAGGAGACCUCCCCGAGCCACCGGCCAACCGUGACCGUGCUCGAGCAAGGAGGACGCGCUCGGCCUCGGCCGCGUCCUUGUCACCACUGCCCAUGGCCGGAUUCGGAAGAGGAGCACCGCUGACCUCUCCGCCACCGCACCCCAUGCACUGAUUGCCGGUGAAGUCGGCAUAACCAUCAGCAACAACCUGCGAAGGAGAAGACCUAGCGGGUACGUAGCGGGUUAGCGAAGCGGGUCGCACCCGUUAACCCGAAUUCACUCGAUUAANNNNNNNNNNNNNNNNNNNNNNNNNNNNNNNNNNNNNNNNNNNNNNNNNNNNNNNNNNNNNNNNNNNNNNNNNNNNNNNNNNNNNNNNNNNNNNNNNNNNNNNNNNNNNNNNNNNNNNNNNNNNNNNNNNNNNNNNNNNNNNNNNNNNNNNNNNNNNNNNNNNNNNNNNNNNNNNNNNNNNNNNNNNNNNNNNNNNNNNNNNNNNNNNNNNNNNNNNNNNNNNNNNNNNNNNNNNNNNNNNNNNNNNNNNNNNNNNNNNNNNNNNNNNNNNNNNNNNNNNNNNNNNNNNNNNNNNNNNNNNNNNNNNNNNNNNNNNNNNNNNNNNNNNNNNNNNNNNNNNNNNNNNNNNNNNNNNNNNNNNNNNNNNNNNNNNNNNNNNNNNNNNNNNNNNNNNNNNNNNNNNNNNNNNNNNNNNNNNNNNNNNNNNNNNNNNNNNNNNNNNNNNNNNNNNNNNNNNNNNNNNNNNNNNNNNACCCAGGUUCCUUCUCACGGGCCCAAGUUAUCAGGCCCGCGCUCUUACGACCUAAUCCAUCCCCUUCCCCCUUCUUCAAUUUAAGGGCCCAACAGGUCCUUUCUUACACAGGCCCACACCACCCCCUCCUUUCGGGUCCACAGCCCAUCAGGCCUCCCACCCCACCUCCUAAUUUGGGGCCCAAUAGGCCCAUUAGGCCCUUUUCACACCGGCCCACAGCACCCCUUUCCCCCUUUAGUUUACAGGCCAAUCAGACCACACAAGAAGCUGAGACCAGGCCCGCCGAAUUGCAGUGAUCGGAUCUGAUUUGACCAGGCCUGCCUAGACCUGACCACGGUUCCGGAACCGCCGGUUCCGGUUCCACAAAAACCUAGAACCUUAACCGGAACCGAAAAUAGUCGGUUCGGUUCCGGAACCAGAACCGCCGGUUCUGGUUCCGAUUCCGAUUCUAGACGGUUCCGGUUCCGGUUCUAGACGGUUCCGGUUCCGGUUAUAAAAUUUUGAAAAAAAAUAGAUUGUGUAAUUAAAUUGGAAAAAAAAUUUAAAUACAAAUAAAUUGUGUAAUUAAUAAAAAAUGAUAAUUUGUGCCUCAUUUUAUUAUUUACUCAUCAAUAGAGGGGGGUCGGUAAUUUGGAUCCCAGAAUUUGGGUUUGGAACAUAUAUUUCCUUGCCUUCAUUUGAGCGGGAGGAAGACAUUUUUGAUAAUUGGAUUGGAAAAAAUGAAAAUAUGGGAAGGUUAUGAAGUGUGUAGAGAAUUGGAAUAGAUUGAAUAAUUAAGAGUAAAAAAUUGAGAGAGAGAGAUUGGAAGAUUGAGUCAUUGAGUGGUGUGGCGAAAAAAUUGAUUUGGAGAGAUAUAUAUAGUAUUGGGGAUAAUUUUCGUUUCCCAAAAUGCCCCUCAAACUAGCCAUUUUUAGUUGUUAGGAGGGGUAAAAUAAUCGUUUCCCAAAAUGCCCCUCAAACUAGCCGUUUUUUAGUUGUUAGGAGGGAUAAAAUAGUCGUUUUUUCGGUUCGAACCAGAACCGAACCGCCGGUUCCGGUCCCGUUCGGUUCCGGUUCCCGUUCGGUUCCGGUUCCGAUUCCGGUUUCGGUUCCGGUUUCGGUUCCGGUUCGGUUCCGAUUCCAUCAAACCUGGAAUCUUAACCGAACUGUAUUCCUCAAGAUUCCGGUUCGGUUAAGAACCGCGAGACAUGGUUCCGGUUCCGGUCCGGUUCCCCGGUUAGAACCGAACCGUGGUCAGGUCUAGGCCUGCCGAGUUGCUAUGAUCAAACCCAAUUUGGAGCCAUUUGACGAGCCUACUUGCUGCGACAGCAUCUCUGAUCGUCGCCCCAGCCCAAGUUAGAUUUCUUCUCUUAUUGGAAAAUCUAUUUAUUUGUUUAAAUUCAGCAUCGAUGAACUUUUGUGUGCUCUAUUGACUUAGCUUGCCGUGAAUUUAACACAUACACCCAAAUAACUUGAGAAAGUCUUACAGUGGCCCAUCUUUGCCAUUAAUUGUAGGGCUGCUUAAUCUUUGGAAGUCCUUCGAGGCUCUGUGAUACCCUGCAACACACAGAAUACUGGCACUACUUGACUGCAAUUACUUGCUUGCACUUAUUACAUGAUCCUCUGGUUGAUUUCAUUUGUUACGGAUUAGCUUUUCGUUUAUAUUGAGCAUGCACAUUGCGCUUUAGGCAUCAUUUUCAUGCAUUAGGUCUGCCUAGGAACCACUACUGUCUUUGCAUUGUAAGGCUACGCACAACUUUGUACACUCAUUAUAUGCACUUUCAUAGUGGUCGUAUUGUCUCCCAGCUCAAAUCCCAACUUGCCAUGGAUCUCAACAUUGAAGCCUUGCUAAGGGCUGUCCAAGACUUGACUACAGUAUCCACCCAGAUCAACGACGGAUUAGACUCCGUUGAGGCCUUCCUUCAGAGGAUUAUGGGAUCCAAAGAAAGUAGUGCCUCCAAUUUGGAGGGCCCAGAGGUCGAGGAUGAAACGUAAGACCAUCUAGAAUCGGCCCGAUAGGGCCACCUCGACACUAGUCCUUUUCCAGGCCAUCCUCAAGCCUACCCAUGUCACAGAGGACCAGGUCCAGUCCAUAAUGUUGAUAGGGAUUAUCGCCCCAAUAUAAAACCCAGAGUCUUGUGUCCAUGAUGAGGAGUAUGAUAAAGGACAUGAUACCCUAGCGUGCAUCCGUACUACACCUAUAUCAUUUGCACCUCCAAAAAGAGAGUCUAACUAGUCCACCAUGAGUGUAGUCAGAUGUGCCCUCACACACCCAAAGAAACUGAUGACUGGAGAAGAACCUCGAUGUCCCCUACUUAUAUUAAGUGCAGGGAGAAAGAUUGUAAGGUCAUCAUUAAUAGCGGGAGUUGCAUUAAUGCGAUAUCUUCUAACAUCGUCUCCUCCUUAGGUUUGACUUCUAUUUCCAUACCACAACCCUAUAAUAUUUCUUAGAUUGACACAUCUUCUAUUCACAUCAAAGAGAGAUGUCUUGUGCCCAUUCACAUCCUUUUUUACAAAGACACCAUAUGGUGUGACGUAAUCCCAAUGGAUGUGGGACACCUAAUUUUGGGGAGACCCUGGUUGUUCGACCUUGUUGUUAUAUACCAUCUACGGUCAAUCCAACUCUUGUUCCUUCGUGUUCGAGGGCAAAAAGAUUAAACUCAAUCCUUUGCGGCCCAAGGCACCUAACAAGAACAAGAAGAGUGAAGUGUCCAAGGACAAGAAUCUCCACAUCCUGCAUCUUGCUGAGUUUGAGAGGGAAAUGAUCAAUGAAUCUUUGAUGUACGCUCUACUUGUCAAAGAAAUUCACUCCCAUAGUCAGAGUGAAUUACCCGCCGACGUCCUCUCUUUUCUUGAGGAGUUUCAAGAAGUGUUCCCAGAAGACCUCUCGGAUCCUUUGCCACCUUUGCGUGACAUUCAGCACGCUAUCGAUUUGGUUCCGGGUGUGACUCUCCCUAACUUGCCCCAUUACCGAAUGAAUCCUUCUGUGCAUGCUGAACUACAACGACAGAUCAAUGAGCUCAUUCGCAAAGGGUUUAUUCGCGAAAGCUUAAGUCCUUGUGCUAUACCCGCACUCCUCACCCCAAAGAAAGAUAGCUCUUGGAGUAGAAUCACGGUCAAGUACUGUUUUUUCAUUCCUCAACUCAAUGAUAUGUUGGAUAUGAUGACAGGCGCUACGAUCAUUUCCAAGAUUGAUUUGAAAAAUUGCCACCAUCAUAUCCAAAUUUGCCUAGAGGAUGAAUGGAAAACUGCUUUCAAGACCAAAGAUGGCCUGUAUAAAUGGUUGAUCAUGCCUUUUGGCUUCUCGAAUGCUCCUAGUACUUUUAUGCCGGUGAUGACUCAAGUACUGCGACCUUUUAUGGGCAAAUUUUUAGUCGUGUACUUUGAUGACAUCCUCAUUUACAGCCAAUCAAAGGAGCAACACCUAGAUCAUUGGCGACAGGUAUGCACAACCCUGAGGAAUGAGCACCUAUAUGCCAACCUCAAGAAGUGUUCAUCCUUCACUUCUCAUGUCAACUUCUUGGGUUACAUUGUUUCCUCGGAGGCUUGGCUGCUGACCCUGAUAAAGUCACUGCAAUAGUAGAGUGGCCUGAGCCUAAAAUCCUCAGUGAGGUUCGCAGUUUUCAUAGGCUGGCUACUUUCUACCUUCAUUUCAUUAGGGAGUUUAGCACGCUUAUGUCCCCAAUCACUAAUUGCCUCAAAAAAGGCGACUUCUAUUGGACUAGUGCCAUUGCUAAAGCAUUUAGCAACAUCAAGAAGAAGAUGACUGAGAUGCCAGUUAUGCGCCUGCCCGACUUUAGCAAGGCCUUUGAAGUGGAGUAUGAUACAUCUGGCCUUGGUAUAGGUGGAGUGCCCAGCCAAGAAUGCCAUCCCGUAGCAUAUUUUAGUGAAAAACUAAAUGAGGCUAAGCAGAAAUAUUCCACCUAUGACAAGAAAUUCUGUCGUAGUCCAGGCCCUCCGGUAUUGGCGCCAUUGUCUGUUGCCCAAUGAAUUCGUCCUCUACUCUGAUCAUGAAGCUCUUUGUUACCUCAGUUCCCAAAAAAAACUAAACUCUAGGCAUGCCAAAUGGGUUGAGUUUCUCCAGGAAUACACUUUUGUCCUAAAGCACACAUCAGGUGCCUCAAACAUAGCUGCUGAUGCACUGAGUCAUCGAGUGACCCUGCUCUCGACCAUGUCUGUCAAUAUCACGGGCUUCGACAGACUCAAAGAGGACUACUUCUUGCCCUGAUUUUGGGGAACUCUACAAAGCCCUCGUUGAUGGACGAAGACCCUUGAUCGAUGGGUUUCAUCUUCAAGAUGGUUAUUUGUUUAAGGCAGCAAAGCUCUAUAUCCCACAAACAUCAGUAAGAGAUUUCUUCGUGUGGGAAGUACAUGUAGGUCGCCUUUCCGAGCAUUUCGGACGGGAUAAGUCCAUCGAAGAGGUGGAACGUCAAUUCUUCUGUCCUAGCCUGAAAAGGGAUGUUGCUAAAAUCAUUGGCCAAUGGCGAACUUGCCUAUUAGCCAAACACUGAAAACAGAACACUGGCCUAGAUACCCCUUUACUGGUACCAGAUCAUCCUUGGCAUGACAUUAGCUUGGACUUUGUGCUUAGUCUUCUCCAUAACUUCAGAAAACACGAUUCCAUUCUUGUAGUCGUGGACCAUUUUUUAAAAAUGGCCCACUUUAUCCCUUGUUCAACAACCUCUGAUGCCUCCAAAGUGGCCAAACUCUUUUUCCAUGAGAUUGUCAAACUCUAUGGCCUUCCAAACACCAUAGUGUCCGACCGAGAUGUCCGUUUCAUGAGUUACUUAUGGAAAACUUUGUGGCACAUAGUUGGUACAAAGCUCAAAUUUUUCACUGCUUAUCAUCCACAAACUGACGACCAAACCAAAGUGGUAAACCAAAGUCUUGGUAACCUCUUGCGUGUCUUGUGGGCAAACACACUCGUAAUUGAAAUUCAAUCCUUCCUAUAGCAUAGUUUGCAUACAAUAAUUCAAUCAACAAGUCUAUCGGCAUGAGUCCAUUUGAGGUCGUGUAUAGUUAUAAAGCCAGAAAACCUUUAGAUCUCUUACCCAUGUCCCCCUAUGUUAGGAUUUCUAAAUCUGUAUAGCCACAUUCAUCGAGGUCAACUUCUUUCCACCCGAGAGAGCUGGUGCGGACACUAGUGCCAGAUCGCCCGUCACUCGAGUCUACAGUCGCCGUAGGAGAAUGGUUCAGCCAGUUUCAUUGUGGUUGGAGUGAUUUUAUUUUGUUUGGGCUUAUUAGGGUAUUUGUUAUUUGAUAGCCUUUAGGGGUUAUUUUAGUAUUUUGUUAUCUUUAAGGGUCUUUGUGAGAUUAAUUUCUUUUUAGGGGCCUUUUUGCAUUUUCUGGAUCUUAUAAAUAUGUUGGACUGUACAUCGUUUAGGGUAUGUUAUGAAUAAAAAUUUUGAAUCCCUUUCUUUUAGCUUUGAUGUGAAACUCUAAGCUAGUACUAAGUGCGAAUCCUAGUUCUCCUUCUCUCCUCCCUCCUCACACUUUCUUCUCUCUUUCUUUUUUUACCCUGCUGUCCGGCAUCAAUCUCUUUGCUCAACAAUUCACUAUCUUCCAAAACCACUCCCUUGUCAAUCACAGCACUCAAGUCAGCCUUGUCGAACAAGAUCACAGGAAACUAUUUCUUAUUUGGUCACCAUACAGGAAACUAAGGAACACUAUUUAACAGUUUCACACUCGAUCUCAAAUAGGCUAUUCAUGUGGUAUGAUUCCCAAGUCUGCUGUGAGCAUUCAGCCGUGACCACAAAAAACUCCACUGCUUUCAAGCUUCCCAUUGACUAAUUCAUUACUGUGAACUAUAAAAAAUAAGAUCAAUAGCUAUCUUAAGUACUUUCUCCUUGAAGAUUCAUUUGCAUUCAACAAACAAAGUAAAAAGAAAAAAUAGAGAAGACUUCAUUCUGAUUUUACUAUACUCUCCCACAGGAGCAGGCAUGAAACCUUAUGAAGCUGCCAAAAUCUCAGCAGUUCCGUAUAAAUCCACUGGGCUCUGUUUUCCUGUCAAGCAAGCAUCCAUGUUGUUUCAUCAAGUCGUCCUGCGAUAGAACAACCAUCCUGCAAUAAAACUUGGACACAUUUUAUAAAUCCAACGAACAGGCUCUCAGCUUUCCAAGUUCAAUAUAAAAAGUAAACAUCUCGACUACUUUUUUAGAAACAUCUCAAAAAAAUGCAGUUAGCUCCUACCAAAAUCACACCACAAAACCAUGGAGAGGGUCUGAUGAUAAAUAAACAUUUUCCAAUGGACAGAAGCCAAUUGUAGUUACUACAAUUUCAAGCAAAUCAAUUUGGAUCAAUACAAGCAAAUAAGAGUCUAAAAAGUAGCAGAGAAUAAGGGAAAUAUGUUGGUCUUGCAGAAACAAUGAGGAGGUUUCAAUUGAUCCUAUCCAGGGCUCUGUCUAGCAUGGCUCUAAACGUCUAAGAUUACACUAGAAAAAAGGUAGGAAUGUUAACAGCAAGCCUGCCUUCAUAAUAUUACUACCAUGCAGCUGAUCUGACGUAAACAACUGAGACCAUGUCAGCUGCAUGAGGGUACAUCCAUUUCAAGAUAGUAGGGGUCUCUCAUUGGUAUACACAAUUUUAUGCAGGCCCAGACAAAGAUGAGUUACCUGCAUGCAUCUCAAAUGCAGGCUUCACCUGAAAAUGACAAAUGUCGGGCAUUGAGGUGCCCUAUAACCAUGAAAGGCACUUUGGAGCUGAUUCAGUCCAAUGUUUAACCAAACACUACUAGUGUGUAGUCCAAACGCAAGCACCAGACUACGGUAGAAACUCUUUUUAAACACGCAGAAAGCUUUUUUUCAUUUUUUCCCCCCAAAUAACUUUGUACCCACAAACUCCAGACAUNNNNNNNNNNNNNNNNNNNNGUAUACACAAUUUUAUGGAGGCCCAGACGAAGAUGAGUUACCUGCAUGUAUCUCAAAUGCAGGCUUCACCUGAAAAUGACAAAUGUCGGGCAUUGAGGUGCCCUAUAAUCAUGAAAGGCACUUUGGAGCUGAUUCAGUCCAAUGUUUAACCAAACACUACUAGUGUAGAGUCCAAACGCAAGCACCAGACUACGGUAGAAACCCUUUUUAAACACGCAGAAGCCUUUUUUCAUUUUUUUUCCCCAAAUAACUUUGUACCCACAAACUCCAGACAUGUAGAAAAGGAGGAGCAUCUUUUUCUAACUGUAGGCUAAGCAUCAACUAUCCAUCUUAUGGAGGGAACUCACUAGUUUCCCUAGUGCGCAUGGCCCUUUUUAGUUCAUAAGAAGUCUGCUUGCAUUGGUAACCAUCAUGCUUAACAGCUCAGCUGAGCCCUUCAUGCAAACUUUCACAUCCAACUACAGUUGGUAAUCUCCAAAUGAAUCAUAUUGCUCGCAUGAACUUGACUCCAUCAGUAUCACAUUUUUUCACAUAAUUCUCUUGGGGAAAAAAUUGAAUAUAAAUACCCAAGUAUCACAUUAAUUGAUUUAUGAAACCACGGAUCUCGCCAGCCAUACCAAAGGUCUUGCCUCUAUUUCUCUUAAAUCCUAAGUGCCUACACCUCCUUAAGCCAUUGGAUCUCUUUGCCCAUAACUUCCAUAAGCCANNNNNNNNNNNNNNNNNNNNNNNNNNGACACCCAGGCUAAACUCAACCACAAAAUCAUGGCCCUCAAAUUAACUCGAAGAAUCGCCAAGGCAAGCUUUAUUGAUCAACUACAUAGAAUGGAUAUUUCCCACGAGGUUUGCACCUACUUUCCUUAGGUUGUUACAUAGAGCACUAGCUCAACUCCAAGCCUUUCCCUCCUUUCUUUCUUUCGAAGCAAUCAAUGCGGCUAAGCAAACAAAGUAACCCUACCUAAGAGGGGCCCCACCAGACCUCUGAGGGUUGAGAGGUCAGUCAAAUCUUGAUCCGGUUGCUCCAGUUGAGCUAAUUGAGAGAAUGGCCUCAGCUGGCCUAAUAACUAGAAAAUUACUUCCUUGCAUUUGAUAAAUCGCAUCCUUCUCAGUCUCGUCCAACAAAAACACUAUCAAGACCUCAAUCACAGUGCACAAGGAGCCAAAGCAUACAUCACCAUGUGCUCACCUAUACGUAAUUGAACACCGGAAACGAUGCCCAUAGCUCUGGAUUGAGAGGUUAUUUCAUUACAUGAUCCAACCAUAUGGCAGCCAUGGGAUGCUAGAUCAAUCAUUCCACACCUUUGAGGAGAUGGAAGAUCAUGGCAUCCAUGCCACCACCAGACCACUAGAGGAGUUGAUUCGGACACGUAUACGGAACAAGAACAUCGAGAAAGUGAAUCAUGAAUUUCGCGAACUCCCACAAAUACAUGGAAACGGACUUGUUGCCACGUAUACCAUAUUGUGUAGGUGCAUAUGGCAGCCUAGGCUCGGCAGCAUCUGGAUGUGCUAGUUUGGAAGAGAUGUGUACAAAGGAGGGUUGCUUGCUUAUUGAAUGUGCAUAUAAUAUCCUGAUCCAUGGAUUUUUUCAAAUUAAGAUAUAGAUAAGAAAGUUAUGAGACUAAUCGCAAAGCAUGGCUGCCCACCAAUGGAGUUUGCACAUAAUCAAAGGAUUAAAAGAAUAUGCAAAAAUUAAUAAAAAUGGAUAGAAGCAAGAGCCGUGAUGGUUGAGGUUAAAAGGCAUAAAGCCCAAAAGUGACCUGUGUGUCCACUUGAAUCAUGGGUUCCGCAAGGUUGGAAACUUCAAAGAGGCUAAGAAGGUUACAGAUGAGAUUGCAAAGAAAGGGAAAGUUCGAAAAGGUAUAUUCAAUUGUUGUUCGGUGAAACAUCUUUUGAUGAGACAUCAAUGGGGAAGAGCAUGGUGAAUGUUUUGGCAUCUCAAAGAUUAUAAACAAUGAAGAACUUGCAAGAAUACUUUGAUCUACCAAUCAAACAGUGCCAGCACAAUGUUCAAAUCCUUGAAGAGUGUUUCAACAAUUGUUAUUGACUUUUCCUCUAAGUUAUAUCCAUAUCAUUCUUAAGUAAAGAUCUAUGAAGAUUUGGUUACUAUGUCAUUGUUUAGAGUCAUAAGGUUAAAAUUGAAUUGAUAACAAAAAGAAUGUUACUUUUAUUGCUUUCACAGUUAUGAUAUUGAUGUUUAAUUCUGCAUAAUUGUUUUUGGUGCUACUUUUUGAUGAGCCAUCUAGUGUUGUCGCAUAUUAUAUUUGCACAGCUCAAAGCACAAUAGCAAAAAGAUUUUUCAUAAAAUCUAAAGAGCAAAUUGCUAGAAACUUGGCGGCUUCCAUUUGGCAUCACUUAACAAUUUUCAGCUAUGAAAACAAAAUCGGUUUCUAUUAAAAAAAACUCGAAACUCAAAUCUUGUUUGGAAGUCAGUUGGGUUGUGGCAGUGGUAGUGGUGCGGUCACGGCCAGUGAGCAGCAGUGGUGCCGGAAGUGAUGGUGUUGGUGGCGGUGGGGUGAUAGGCAAGCGGUAGUGGGUGCUAGUGGGGUCCAACGGGAGUGGUGGCAAGGAUGGUGAAAGCAGGGGCAGCCCAAUGCAUUUGGAAGCCUAAGGCGAACUCACUAAGAAAGAUCUUUUUUUUAAAAAAACUAAAAAUUUUUAAUAAGUGCAAAAUACUCGGACCUAUCUCGCCGACCUGAACGGGUAACUAUUGAUCUUCCACAACCAUCCAGCUUAGUCAGCAUCGAGAUUGGGCUGGAUUUCAGCGGCAACAGUAUCCAACUAGAAAUUUUAAACAUGUCUCGAGGAUAUCAAAUUUGCAAUCCUAUUAGGUUCCAAAAAAUUUAACCUGAAUUCGAAUCGGGUAUACAAAGAUACUACUUUUUUUUUGCUAAAGCACAAAGAUACUACUUUGAUGUAGCCAUUAUACACAUGUGUGCAUGUACGUCCGAGUUACUCUUAGAGAACACUAAUACUAGGAAAUCUGCAGUACGAUAAGUUAGCCAUUAAACAGAGAAUAAUCUAUGUAUUAAAAUUAACGGAAGAGUGGACUAAGAGGUCAAAUUCAAUUAAGUAUAAACAACUGAAUCAUCUCGGUGUCACAUGAGAGAUGUCAGCCUGAUGACUAGGGAACGCAGGGACCAGAGGUGAGACAUCUUGCUGCAUCAUUGAUCUAUAAAAUUUAUAACCUAGCAACACCAAUCCAGAUUUUUAAUCCAAGUGGAAAAAUCAACUCGUUCACACAAUUUGCCAAACAGUUGGUGGACCACGAAAAGGCUCACGAUGUAAGAUCAAGUAAAGCCAAGCCAAGCCUCGGCCUGGCCACUGGACAGAUGAAUGGUUAUCACAAAAAGAGUUCGGAGAACGAGACAAGAAGAAAAAAAGGGCAUACCUUGCGAGUGGAAAUAAGGUCCGGGGAUGAGUGGCCUCGACUUCGGUGGAUUCGUCUUGUUCUCAGGCCUAACUAGAAACGACUACAGAUCAGCGGAUGGGAUUGGGAGCGGCCGAGGACUUGGGUAAGAGAUUGGAGAUGUGAUUUUGGCGGAAGGCUUCUGGCUCCUGGGACCCAGACGAGAAGACGCCGGACAGGCCCGAACUGCCCGCUGCCGAAGUGGGAAUGUGGGAUUUGGGAACGGCGAGUCGGCGAACAGAGGCGGUAAGAGAUGUCUUUGAUGAACAGUGAACUGAUCGAGGGUCUGGUUCCCCGGCUGCGGUAGCCCGUAGCCGCGGUACUCCUUGUAACCCCGGCCGGAGACGACCUGCUGGCUCGCCCCUGGGGCGAUGGGAAGCAGCCCUUGGGGCGAUGGGAAGCAGCCUCUUGCAGUGCGAUUGCGAUGGAAAGUAGCCGUGGCACUAUAGCAGCGAAGAAAAUUUAAGAUUUUACUGUAGCUCUUCCUUGAACCUAAGCGGUGGCCUUCCUUUGGGCCAGGGAUUAGGCGACCGCCUAGGUCGGGCCGGCCCUGGGUGAAAGAGGCAGCGGUGGUGGCAAUGGGCGG
rnacentral:lncRNA from 1 species